AUACGGAAGGUCCGGGCGUUAUCCGGAUUUAUUGGGUUUAAAGGGAGCGCAGGCGGAGAUGCAAGCGUGACGUCAAAUUUCGGGGCUCAACCCCGUCUCGCGUCGCGAACUGCGUCCCUUGGUUGCGGGAAGGGGAGGCGGAACUCGUGGUGUAGCGGUGAAAUGCAUAGAUAUCACGAAGAACUCCGAUCGCGAAGGCAGCCUUCCGGCCCGUCAACGACGCUCAUGCUCGAAGGUGCGGGUAUCAAACAGGAUUAGAUACCAUGGUAGUCCGCACAGUAAACGAUGGACACCCGCGGUUUGGCCUGUAUGGCUGAGCCGCCAAGCGAAAGCGUUAAGUGUCCCACCUGGGGAGUACGCCGGCAACGGUGAAACUCAAAUGAAUUGACGGGG
rnacentral:rRNA from 1 species